rnacentral:sRNA from 1 species
CGAAAAACCAGCGCCUAUGGACGCUGGCGAGGACUUCAUAAGGCCGUUCGUACCCUGCUGGGAGUGGAAACGGUGACGCGUUGCGUCUUAAGAAACCGAGGGCGGCGGUAAAAAGGUUAACGCCCUUCAACCAAUGUGGACGGAUUUUAUGCACCGUUUUAUAGAUCGUCAACACUAUAGAAUGUCAAAUUUAUAACUAUUUGUAA